GAUGAACGCUGGCGGCGUGCCUAAUACAUGCAAGUCGAGCGAACAGACGAGGAGCUUGCUCCGCUGACGUUAGCGGCGGACGGGUGAGUAACACGUGGAUAACCUACCUAUAAGACUGGGAUAACUUCGGGAAACCGGAGCCAAUACCGGAUAAUAUAGUGAACCGCAUGGUUCAAUAGUGAAAGACGGUUUUGCUGUCACUAAUAGAUGGAUCCGCGUCGCAUUAGCUAGUUGGUAAGGUAACGGCUUACCAAGGCAACGAUGCGUAGCCGACCUGAGAGGGUGAUCGGCCACACUGGAACUGAGACACGGUCCAGACUCCUACGGGAGGCAGCAGUAGGGAAUCUUCCACAAUGGGCGAAAGCCUGACGGAGCAACGCCGCGUGAGUGAUGAAGGUCUUCGGAUCGUAAAGCUCUGUUAGUAGGGAAGAACAAAUGUAUAUGUAACUAUGCCCGUCUUGACGGUACCUAAACAGAAAGCCACGGCUAACUACGUG
rnacentral:rRNA from 1 species